GGUCCCCUUUUUGCUAGAGGUGGGGUGCUUUAAAUUCGAACCCACGCGAUUUUCACCAU
rnacentral:tRNA from 1 species